rnacentral:rRNA from 1 species
GACGAACGCUGGCGGCGUGCCUAAUACAUGCAAGUUGAGCGCUGAAGGUUGGUACUUGUACCGACUGGAUGAGCAGCGCACGGGUGAGUAACGCGUGGGGAAUCUGCCUUUGAGCGGGGGACAACAUUUGGAAACGAAUGCUAAUACCGCAUAAAAACUUUAAACACAAGUUUUAAGUUUGAAAGAUGCAAUUGCAUCACUCAAAGAUGAUCCCGCGUUGUAUUAGCUAGUUGGUGAGGUAAAGGCUCACCAAGGCGAUGAUACAUAGCCGACCUGAGAGGGUGAUCGGCCACAUUGGGACGGAGACACGGCCCAAACUCCUACGGGAGGCAGCAGUAGGGAAUCUUCGGCAGAAGACGAAAGUCUGAACGAGCAACGCCGCGUGAGAGAAGAAGGUUGUCGGAUCGUAAAAGUCUGUUGGUAGAGAAGAACGUUGGUGAGAGUGGAAAGCUCAUCAAGUGACGGUAACUACCCAGAAAGGGACGGCUAACUACGUG